CUUUUCAGGGUUCAGUUCUCCGUCCAUCGAGGACUCUAUGGCGAUGGUCGGCGUGGCGCUGGUGCUUUAUGGGCUCAUCAAGUUUGUCUCGUGGACAUUUACCAGCUCAGGCUCAGCUGAGGCUGAUAAACAAGAUAAGAAAGAGAAGUGAAGGUGAAAGAAGGCGACUGACCAUCAGUGGCAUUGAUCCACUCGAUAUGUUUGAUGGGAUUUCAGGAGGGGCUUUCCACAUGUUCAUGGGACAGAUUAUUUCUUUUUCUUUUGUUUUUUUACUGCUCUGGUUUGAAGGUAA